rnacentral:rRNA from 1 species
GAUGAACGCUGGCGGCGUGCCUAAUACAUGCAAGUCGAGCGAACAGACGAGGAGCUUGCUCCUCUGACGUUAGCGGCGGACGGGUGAGUAACACGUGGAUAACCUACCUAUAAGACUGGGAUAACUUCGGGAAACCGGAGCUAAUACCGGAUAAUAUAUUGAACCGCAUGGUUCAAUAGUGAAAGACGGUUUUGCUGUCACUUAUAGAUGGAUCCGCGCCGCAUUAGCUAGUUGGUAAGGUAACGGCUUACCAAGGCAACGAUGCGUAGCCGUCCUGAGAGGGUGAUCGGCCACACUGGAACUGAGACACGGUCCAGACUCCUACGGGAGGCAGCAGUAGGGAAUCUUCCGCAAUGGGCGAAAGCCUGACGGAGCAACGCCGCGUGAGUGAUGAAGGUCUUCGGAUCGUAAAACUCUGUUAUUAGGGAAGAACAAAUGUGUAAGUAACGAUGCACGUCUUGACGGUACCUAAUCAGAAAGCCACGGCUAACUACGU